ensembl:lncRNA
GGCCGUGGCCGUUUCCUGUGGUGGUCCAGGGAAGAGCUAGGUGGGGGCCAUGGCUGAGGAGAAGGCAAAGCAUCCGUGCUGAGACAAUGGCUCAGCAGCCUGUCAGCAAUUGCUGCAGAUGGUCCAAGUGAAUUUUGUGUUCUUCAGAAGGCACUAAUCUGAGAGCAGUAUGCUGUUCAUAAACUGAAGGACCCAGAACACUCUACCAGCAUGCUGAAAACCUGGAGCUGGAGGAAUUAAUUCUAAUGCAAAUGAGGGUAGGGUUUCCCUGCAGAAGAAGUCCUUGUUGAAUCUGCCUAGACUGCCAACCUGGUUGCCAUAUGUCCAGCUAGGAAUGUGGCAGAGGUUUUUCAAUAUAGAGCUCACACUGGUUUCAUAUGUGAUGAGGAGACAAGGAAACAGUGGAGAACAGCAGCAGUUGUUAUGAUGCAGAUAAGCAAGAAAGAAAAAUUAAGGAUGGAAAGACGGAGCAGUUUCUAAAAAAUGAGGUAAGGAAUUCUCUAUAAAAGUGUAAAGCGUAUAAAUAAUCGUGCCAAAUAGUUUAUCCUGCCCUUCCUAGUAUUUCUGAGAAUUUCUUCUAUAUGUGUCUAGGACAUAUAAACACACAAUACAUAAUCCCUACUAACCCCCACUCACACAAUAAAUCUCCUUUUGAGCAAAAUUGCUGUUACUCU